GGAAGAGCUGCCCUGUGAAACUGUGCUGGCCUUGGCCGUGUAUUCCCAAGGAUCAAGAAGCUGCCUCGGUUCUUGUGCUUGAGCUCAGUGCUGUGUAGCUUUGUGAAGAUAUUUCCAGAUUGAGACUUUUUUGAAUUUGGCUUUUUUUUUUUCCACAAAAGGAAAGUUCUUCCUGUGGACUCUGAUUUUUUUUUUUUUUUUUGUAAAUGACAUGACAAUCUACUCUUCUCCUGAUACAAAUUGAUUGCAAUAGACUUCACACAGUUUGUACUUUCUCUUAAAUUCAGAAGAGAACUGUUUUCAAGGAACUUUUUUCCUAUCUUUUUUUAAUAAAACACAAAGAUAAAACUAUUUCAAUAGCAGAUAAUCUCAUAAUGAGAGGAUUCCUGGUUAGCCCAAAUGAGGCCAAUCCUGAGAUUCUUUUUUUUUUUUUUUUUUUUCCUGGGAACCUCCAUAUGCCGCAGGNCGAGCCCCGAAAAAGGCAAAAAAAAAAAAAAAAAAAAAAAAAAGAGUAAUAACUUAAUUCUGGUCACUUGCUAAUUUUUUUGGUUUGGGAAAAAACUCUAGAAAUAGAUGAAGUGCCCAUAGUUUGAAUCAAAUGACCCUUAGAGGUUGUUGGUUUGGGUAUGGGCCCCUGUUCCAAAUCAAGCUAUAGGUCACUGGUCCUGUGACACAGCCUGAUUGAAAGUUGAUUAGACAGAUGUAGAGAAAGAGUUAACCUCUGAGAGAAUGCCAUGGAGUAGGAGAUGGCCAUGAAGGAUUAUGGAAAGCACAGAAUUUAUAAUGAAACCAACUGUGGGUGCGGGUGAAGACAUUACAAGAGAAAGAGGAAAAUAUGUAGAAUGUGAAGAGUAGGAGUGUUCUGGAAGAAUCCAGGACAAAAUACAGUUUCUACUCCAGGGAACAGGCAUAUGAGGACCAGCUGGACAGUAGUAUUAAUGCAGAAAAGCAGAAUCAAUGCCUGGGAGCACUAUGGGCUGGAACCUCGAAACUUCCCUACCUCCUUUCAUCGCCUGAUCUAUUCCUCACCUUUUUUCAAAGCUCCUGGUUCUUCUAUCGCAGAAAUUCCUCUUGUCGCUAGACAUUUGCUCACACUGGUCCUUCUUCUUCAAUUAAUCCCUGUUUCCCAUUCCCCUCUCCCCUUCACUGUCCCCGCAUUCCCUUUGCGGCCAGCUCUUACUCAUUCAGCAAGUCUCACUCAAGAUUUCUUUUUUUCUGGGGUUCCCGUCGUGGUGCAGUGGAAACGAGUCCCACUGGGAACCAUGAGGAUGUGGGUUUCAUCCCUGGCCUCGCUCAGUGGGUUAAGGAUUUGGCGUUCCCGUGAACUGUGGUGUAGGCCACAGAUGCGGCUCAGAUGCUGUGUUGCUGUGGUUGUGGGGUCGGCCAGCAGCCGCAGCUCCGAUUUGACCCCUAGCCUGGGAACCUCCAUAUGCCACAAGUGCGGCCCUAAAAAAGCCAAAAAAAAAAAAAAAAGAAAAA
rnacentral:lncRNA from 1 species